rnacentral:rRNA from 1 species
UACGUAGGGACCAAGCGUUGUUCGGAUUUACUGGGCGUAAAGGGCGCGUAGGCGGCGCGGUAAGCCACUUGUGAAAUCUCUGAGCUUAACUCAGAACGGCCAAGUGAUACUGCAGUGCUAGAGUGUGGAAGGGGCAAUCGGAAUUCUUGGUGUAGCGGUGAAAUGCGUAGGUAUCAAGAGGAACACCUGAGGUGAAGACGGGUCUCUGGACAGUUCCUGACGCUGAGGCACGAAGGUCAGGGGAGCAAACGGG